UACGUAGGGUGCAAGCGUUGUCCGGAAUUAUUGGGCGUAAAGAGCUCGUAGGCGGUUCGUCGCGUCGGCUGUGAAAUCCCGAGGCUCAACCUCGGGUCUGCAGUCGAUACGGGCGGACUGGAGUUCGGCAGGGGAGACUGGAAUUCCUGGUGUAGCGGUGAAAUGCGCAGAUAUCAGGAGGAACACCGAUGGCGAAGGCAGGUCUCUGGGCCAUAACUGACGCUGAGAAGCGAAAGCAUGGGGAGCGAACAGGA
rnacentral:rRNA from 1 species